UUCGUGUACAAUUCACCGAGGUCACGGGUAAAGAAAGAUAAUCUGGAGUGCCGGGCGAAGCAUUUUAAAACGGCAUACGUGAGCUACGAUCGUGAACAAGCUGCGAAAGUGCGUCUCCCAUGCCUCAGCGUCAGGUGUCGACGAAGGUAGGCAGCGAUGUCCUUUUCACAAACCCACAAACUCUUGUGUCUACUUUAUAUUUUCAUGUUUCGUUCAACUUUCGUGUUUCAUGUUUCGUUCAACUUAGGGGGCGUUAUGGCAUGCGUGUGUAAAUGCGCGCGUGUGCGGUAAAACGGGUUGAACGCGGAAGUCGAUUGAUCGAAAAGUAGGUCUUCGGUCAAAAAAAAGCUUGGGCGCCCUGAAAAACGCGUAAUAUGAAGCAGGAAAAAAAAAAACGUGUCUGACGACAGGGCGACGCGCUUCGAACCUCUUGUCACCGUUGUGGAAGUUCCUGCUGCGUGUUUACGUAAGAUUGGAAUGUUGAGCCUUUCCUGCAAACCGUUGUCGGGAACACUGUGUUCUGGAGAGGAAGAAAACAAGCGCCCUGACCUCACCAUGGGUCAGGCGUGUUUGUUUACAUCCACUGCGGAACUGCUCAUCGGGGUAGCGUUUGCGCAAAUAAUUCCCAGGAUAUGACCAGCGGAAAGUGUCCUACUCAUUGCCAGUCCAGAAAGAAGGAGACGCGUGAGAAUCAAGUUUGCACACGAGCUGGAAUAGCACCUUAAUAAAAUGAAGACGCUAGGCGUUUCUGGCUUUUUCCUGCUCGGCUGGUUGGAUGAAAAUUCCGGCGAGCGGAAGAGAAUGCUGAGAGAUGACAUGACACAAAGUUAAUCAUGGGCAAAGAAUAUGUUCAUCUUCGUUUUGAUAUGAGGCACAUCAAUCAUCUUAAAGAGCAGAAAGACAAUAGAGCAAUCGUUCCUGUUCCUGCGCCUUAUGUAAUUUGGGGGUGGAAAUAACAGAUAACCUAUUAUUAUAGUCACUAUGUUUUAGAUAGGCAGCACGGCGAACAAAUUUGGGCUGACCAGGCUGAAGUUUGCAAGGAAGAAUAUGAAAAGUUUGUCUAUUCUUCCAGUAAGAAGAAUAUGCAAAGUUUGUAUCUUCUUCCUGCGAUUGGAUGUUUUUUUUUUUUGUUGUUUGUUUAUUUUUCCGGGAUAGUACUGCUUCUUCCCACAUUCCAAAAAUAUGCAUGUUAGGUGAACAGAAGCCUCUCGGUGUUGAUGUGAGUGUAAAUGCUUGUUUGUUCAUAAGUGCACUGACAUUGACUGCCGAUCAGUCCAAAGUCAACUGGGCUACUCAUUUGCAUUCCUGGUUGUUUUCCAUCUCUCCCCGCUGGAACACCCUCGAUUCAAACGAUCAGAUAAUCAGCAAGAUCUGCAGAAGCUUGAUAAUGUGUUGCAGCGGGGGCGGGGGCGGUGCCGUUUGAGGAACAGCACUGAAGACCCGUGUAAUGCACAAAACUGUGGUUGCUGUGGUUUCACUUUGCUGAAGUUUGUUAGUUUCAUUCUUACGUGGCUUCCUUGUGAGCGUCCGACUGCACUUGCACAGGAGCAAACAGCAACAUCAAUAAUAAUUCAGAUGAAUGUGACUUUAUUACAGUGCUGGAAUAGUGUGUAUACUGUACUGUACUACUUUAACCCUUUCAUGCACCAAUAAUGACAACCUGUUCUGCCCUCGCCACAUCCCUGCUGCAGCUAGACAGACAGACAGACAUCUCCUACAAUGACCACACCCGUUCAUGUUUCUCGGAAUUUAUUCACCAGUGAGUCAAGAAGGUGUAAAACUUUUGCACCGACAGGCUUCCCGAGUUCCACCUCAGCCUUCGUGGGCGCCACCUGACAAACGCGCUCGCCCACGUCCGGACGCAGAAAAAGGGGAUCGGCGAUAACAAAUGUACAACUACUUGGGUGUGCAGUGUGAAAGGCUGGACUGGCCCCCCCAACACUGGCGUCCUGUACAGGAAAAAAACAGCAACUUCCUCAGAAGACUUAGCUUUCCUUCACAUCUGCAAAAAAUACUGCUGAUGUUGUUCUGCAAGUGUGUGGUGACCAGUGCCCUCGUGUAUUUUUGCUGAAGAAGUCAGGGGGAGGGGGGGGGGGGCUGUGCAGCGUCAAGAAUAGGGACACACAGAGUUGGACAGCCUGACGUGCAGCAGCAGAUGGCCGCUGAACAAGCUUUUGUCCGUAAUGGACAAUCCUCAGCAUCUACGGCUCAGCACCAUCGAAAGGCAGGGAAGCAGCUUCUGUGUGACAGGUUGCUGUCACUUCUCUCCUCUACUGACAGAAUGAUGAAAUCUGUCCACCGCCAUGCCAUGUGACUUUUUAAUGCCACCCCGGGAGGGAGAUGCUAAUAUUAUUCCCUCAACUUUGCAGUGUCAUGGACAUUUUGCGCACUGAUCACCGCCGACUUUCAGAGCACGCUGGAAUCAUGAGUUUUAUUUCUAAAAAGGCUUGUAUGAAUAAUACGUCUUUUUUUUUUUCCAGCCUCAUCACGAAGAGCUUCAGAUGCAACGUUUAAUGUGUACAAAUGUUCUUUUUUUUUUUUUUUUUUUAACUAUGCACACGACAAUAAACGUUUGAAAUCUCGAAU